ensembl:lncRNA
CUAAGGGGACUAUUGUAUUUGAAAAAUCAAAAACACUCACUAAAUUCCCAAAUCUCCCUUUUUUUCUCUACUGUCAUGGUUUCCAUGACUACAUUUCACAGCUCGAUUUUACAUCUUAAAUGUAAAUGAUUUCUACUGAGAAACACUAUAUAGAAUUUUCAGAUGGAAGAAAGUUAAAGAGGUUUACUCGUCCAGGCAAAUGGACCUUCCAGAGUUGCUACUUGCAAAGAGAAAUCCAAAUGUGCGUCAUCUUGCAAAGAGACAACACUGGAUACAAGUUUCCCACUUGUUGUAGAAUAACAUCAUGCUGCUUCCAGAGGAGUAACACUUGCAAGAUUGAACUUUAA